rnacentral:tRNA from 1 species
CAAAAUAAAGCUCUAAGAGCUUCUUGCUUACACUGAGAGGGUGCUGUUAAAUCCAGUUGUUUUGA